rnacentral:rRNA from 1 species
UACAGAGGUCCCAAGCGUUGUUCGGAUUCAUUGGGCGUAAAGGGUGCGUAGGCGGCGCGGUAAGUCGGGUGUGAAAUCUCGGGGCUUAACUCCGAAACUGCAUUCGAUACUGCCGUGCUUGAGGACUGGAGAGGAGACUGGAAUUUAUGGUGUAGCAGUGAAAUGCGUAGAUAUCAUAAGGAAGACCAGUGGCGAAGGCGGGUCUCUGGACAGUUCCUGACACUGAGACACGAAGGCCAGGGGAGCAAACGGG